GGGUAUUUUUGAAAGAAAAAUCGAAAAUCGGAGGUCAAAACGCAAUUUAGAAAAAUUACACCACGUCAGCUGCCCGGUCAGCAGCCUCGGCCAACCAGGACGUCCCGCGUGACAGAGACACUGACGCGGGAGGCCACACGAAAGGGAGCCACGUGGGCGAUCCGCGUGCGCGCGAUCGAACGACUGAGAUCUUUUCCCGCGCGCACGGUCGACCCAGAUUGAAUCAUGAUGAACAGUCCAGAUUCAUUUCCUAUUUAAUCGCGAUCGGACGAUCCAUAUUAAAUGCGAUGGACGGCUUAGAUCAAAAGCAGAUGGUUAUAAAUAAUCUCAU
rnacentral:lncRNA from 1 species